GACGUAGGGGGCAAGCGUUGUCCGGAUUUAUUGGGCGUAAAGAGCGUGUAGGCGGCUUCACAGGUCCGCUGUGAAAACUCGAGGCUCAACCUCGAGCUGUCGGUGGAAACCGUGUGGCUAGAGUCCGGAAGAGGAGAGUGGAAUUCCCGGUGUAGUGGUGGAAUGCGUAGAUAUCGGGAGGAACACCAGUGGCGAAGGCGGUUGCCUGGAGCUUUGCUGACGCUGAUGCGCGAAAGCGUGGGGAGCGAUCCGG
rnacentral:rRNA from 1 species